rnacentral:miRNA from 1 species
GGCUUUUCUGGGAGGUGGGGGAAGGGACAGAGGGCAGCCCCUCUGUCCCUUCCCCCACCUCCCGCAAAAGCC